rnacentral:rRNA from 1 species
AUGCACGCUGGCGGCGUGCCUAAUACAUGCAAGUCGAGCGAACGGACGAGAAGCUUGCUUCUCUGAUGUUAGCGGCGGACGGGUGAGUAACACGUGGAUAACCUACCUAUAAGACUGGGAUAACUUCGGGAAACCGAAGCUAAUACCGGAUGAUAUUUUGAACCGCAUGGUUCAAAAGUGAAAGACGGUCUUGCUGUCACUUAUAGAUGGAUCCGCGCUGCAUUAGCUAGUUGGUAAGGUAACGGCUUACCAAGGCAACGAUGCAUAGCCGACCUGAGAGGGUGAUCGGCCACACUGGAACUGAGACACGGUCCAGACUCCUACGGGAGGCAGCAGUAGGGAAUCUUCCGCAAUGGGCGAAAGCCUGACGGAGCAACGCCGCGUGAGUGAUGAAGGUCUUCGGAUCGUAAAACUCUGUUAUUAGGGAAGAACAUAUGUGUAAGUAACUGUGCACAUCUUGACGGUACCUAAUCAGAAAGCCACGGCUAACUACGUG